AGCCACACGGCACAGCCAGGCCUGACUCGGACACAGGGAUGCUGUUGUUUUUACUUGUCCUGACAAAAUUUUAUGGAAUCGAAAUUUCUACGUUGGACAUUUUCCUUUAAACAGCCUUGGUUUUACCGAAACACAGAGUCCCUGUCAUCAGUGAUGCCAAAACUCCAGAGAACCUCCUCUGCUCUCGCCUGUAAUGAGCAAAUGUCCCCCAAAACCCCACCAACCCCUUUAAAAGGGGCCCCAGCAGCACCUCUUUCCCCCAGGGCUUCUCAGCAGGGGUGGCUCUGGACAACUUCUCCUGGCACUGGCUCCCCCCUCUCCAGGUGCUCACCUGACUUCUUGCUGGGGGAGCAUUUUUUUCUUGAUUCCCAAGCCUAUUUGAUGACAGCUUUGCCCACUUUAUCUGAAAGCCCAGCUCUCCUGCAGCCUCCUGCUUUUUUUUUUUUUUUUUUCCAGUGGAAAGUCGAUUAAAUCCGACAGCAACAUCUUGAUCCUUUCAAGUGGCUCUGUCCCAGUGCCGGGCUCCAGGCUCCACAGCCCAAACUCCUGAGCGUGGCCCAGCACCAAACAGGCACAGGGAGCUGGAUGUUGCCUGCAAACAGGAAUCCUCCUGGUCACUGAAAACAAGCAAUAUUUGUGUUGGGCCGUGAGCCCAGCUGAACAGACCGCAGAGGGCUUUAUCUGGGGGAAAAAAGAAAAAAAAAAAAAAGAGAUCCUAAAUCCCUCUGGGGAAUGGGGAGGAAAUUGGGGUGGGAAGUGGGGCAACGUUGGACCUGAGGAUGUCUGCAGGGCUGGAAAAAGCAUUGCUCUGUGUCUGUACAGGGGGGUGCUCCCCGUACACCCCAGGACAGGUUUUGGUGCCUGGAGCUGCUUGAAUCAAGGGUUUCUGCCUUGUCUGAGGGACAGGGAGAGCGCAAAUCCCUCAGUAGCCCUCAGACCCAUUUUAUCCCCAGCUGAAGCCUCCCUCCGUGCAGAGGAGCCUGCGGAAACCCUGGCAGGGCAGGCACAGGAGGGGUCCUUCGGACCAACAGCUCCUGCUUACCCCGCUCACCAGUGCUGGGCUUCAAAAAAAAAAAGAAACCCAAAUCCCUUCUCGGUGCAAAGCCCAGCCCGGGACGGUUUGGGAGCAGGCUGCUGGAAGCAUUUCCCCCUCUCCGAAGGGAUCAGCAAGGCACAAGCAAGCCCAGGAAAGCAAUAAAGAAAAAGUCCAUCUGGUUGUCGCCCUUCUU
rnacentral:lncRNA from 1 species